AGAGAGAGAGAGAGAGAGAGAGGGGGGGAGAGGAUAAAUCGAGUAGGCCAGCAACCAUUGAAUCAUUACCCUGCUCCUUUUCCUCCGUUUUUGGUGGUUUGUGAGCUUCAUUAGACUCCCUGUGGCUAUAUAUGUACACACAUACCCGAUAGCGGUCGCAUUUUAGAAUCGAAAGCGAGUUGAAGAAUCCCAUAGCGUUCUGCUUGGAUUGCUGCUGAUUAUUCUGACAUGGGCUUGGAGGAGAGAGUUCCAAACCUGCACAACGAGAAAGAAAAAGCUCAAACGUUGACCUUAAGUGUGCAUGCCUUUUCUGACUUAACCUAUGUUUCUCCCGUAGUAUUUUUAUACCUCCUGAAAGAAUGUUAUAUUCAUGGCUCGUGUAAGGCAACGAAAAAGUUCAAAAUUCUUCAGCAACAAGUUCAUCGGGUACUAUAUAAUUCUCCUCAACCAGGACCUGCCACUUUUGUUAUUCAAUGCCUGCAUGUCCUGCCCAUUUUUGGAUUAUAUUCUGAAGGGUUCAGUCACUUGAUUGUAUCUGCUCUUCGUCGUUUUCUAAAACUGGUGCCGACCUCAGAAGACACCUUGCAAGCAAAAGUUCUAGCAGCCAAUUUAUUUAUAGAUGUUGUGGGAGGCUUAGUCAAUCAUGAUGAGAGGAUAGUUGUCAAGAUACUUGAAGGUUUUGAUGUCAGGUUGACACACAUUGAGGAAGCAAUUGAUCGAUUAAAGGCCCAAAAUGAUAAUAGAUUUGACACAGCAAAAACAUUUGUUGAACAAUAUAUUUAUAAGUUUGUAGAAUCUCAGUCGUAUAUGACAGCAGUCACUUUGCUGGAACAUUUCUCUAUCCGCCAGUCUGGGCAGUCUUUCCUUCUCAAAAUGAUGCAGAAUAAACAAUUUAAAGCAGCUGAAAAAUGGGCAACAUUUAUGGGGAGGCCAAUGUUAUGUGCACUUGUUAAGGAGUAUGUUGAUAGGAACAUGCUAAAGCAUGCUUAUGAGACUAUAAAGAAAAACAAUCUGAAGGAAGAAUUUCCUGAUGUAUACCAUAAAUGCACAGAAAGUUCAUUGAAGAAUUUAGCAGAAAAGGCAUUAUGGGAUAUUGCAGAGGCAAAGACACACGGUGACAGGCAACUUGUUGAAUAUUUGAGUUCUGCUGAGAAGGAGAGGAGAGCACAUUUGUAGCUGCUUUACAUAUCAUUUCAAGAAAUAAUGGGAAGUACAUAUUUUGCUGAUUUUCUGUUAGUUUCUUUUGAUUAACAUUUAAAUUAUAUGUACUAAUUUAAUUGUAAGGUUUACUUGGCAAUGGAGGCUGGUUACUCAGAGAAGGUUGAUGAACUCUGUGAUCGUUACUCACUUGAAGGUUUUCUGAAAGGCAAAGAACUUGAGGCCAGUCUCCCACAUGGUAGGUAUCUGCAACUCAAUGAAUUAGUUGUUGAAGGCUUUGUCUGGGUUGAUGAAGUUGAUGGCCUGUGUGAUGCUACAUGCCACAUUGAGGGCUGUAAAGUUGUGGGUAUUGAUUGUGAAUGGAAGCCCAAUUAUGAGAAAGGCAGCAAACCAAACAAGGUUUCUAUCAUGCAAAUUGCUUCUGAUAAGAAAGUUUUCGUCUUUGAUUUGAUAAAGUUAUUUGAAGACGUACCUGAUAGUUUAGACAACUCUCUAACUCGGAUUUUGCAGUCUCCUAGAAUUUUAAAACUUGGUAUGGCAUAUCUAAACACUUUGGUUGGGGAAAAACCACAUUCUAUACAAUUUUUAAGCCUUUAAAUUGAAAUCUCUCUGUUGUGGAGAAGAAAAGUGUCUUUAUUUGCUUUGCUUUUGCAGGUAUUAUAAACUCUUAGAUUUUAGAACCUCUCACACUCAAUUUAUUUAUCAAAAUGAGGCAUUAAUAUAUUUAUCAGGUUCCCAGUGGUUAAUGGACCCCUACCAAGUGGUCUAUAUAAAAAGUUAUGUAGGACAUUAGAUGGAUUAUUGGUGGCUGACGGGAGUGUUCAUUAUCAAUAAACUUUUUCUUGAAUAUUUUGUUGAUGAUGAAAUAUAUUUGUUAAGAUGGAAAACAAUGCUAUUUACCCAAAAGGUGCUGAUGCCCUUUGUGGAUAUGUAGGUUAUAACUUUCAGUGCGAUAUAAAACAGUUAGCUCAUUCAUAUGGAGAAUUGAAGUGCUUCAAGCACUAUGAAAUGUUACUUGACAUUCAGAAUUUAUUCAGAGAACCCCGAGGUGGUCUGUCGGGGCUUGCAAAGAAAAUAUUAGGAGUGGGUUUGAAUAAAACAAGACGGAAUAGCAAUUGGGAGCAACGGCCUUUGAGUCAGAACCAGGUAUAUUUAUUGUUGUCUGUUUACAUUGAUGUUUCCCUAUUUUAAUGCUUCUGCAAAAGCCAUUGAUGGGGAAAAGCAAAGUUUGGUGAAAGUCUUCCCAACUUUUGAUUUAAGCUUAAUGUUUCGUAUGCAGUUCCAACAUGCAUUUAUUCAUUUGUGCUUGUUUUUGCUCUAACCAUCCAGUGAUUUUCGAGUUCAUGUAUAAACUAACUGUCAGUGAGAUUUAUCUGAGUAUUGAUAUGAUACCAAUAACUUUUCUUCAGGUUAGAGUAGGGCAAGUAAUGAGAUAUUUGCUUGGUUUUUAACUUGCAUUGAGAUAUCAAAAAUUUAUUUUCCACAAAAAAAAAAAAAGGAAAAGCAUGUUUCUGCUUUUUUACCCAAAACUUAGAUAAAACCAACGCUGUUGCUGGUUUGAAUUACUUUUGUAGAGAAAUCUGGUUUGCUACAUCCCUUUUUUUAGGGUAAGCUUUAUGUGUUCUGGCAAUGCUGAACUGAUAUUUUGAUGGAAGACAGACUUUCUUUAUUGUAAUUUGAAGUCUGGUAAUUGAUUUGUAUGUGUGCACAUGUGAAUGAGUACAAGAGCUGUGUGAUUGUUGAACCUUUUGAUCUUUAUAUCCAUUUUAAAUUUUAUAUUGGACAAACUAAAGCACUAUAUUGCAGUUGGAGUAUGCUGCUCUUGAUGCUGCUGUACUUAUUCACAUAUUCCAUCACAUUCAUAAUCAUCCUCAUCCUCAGCCUGCCAGUGUCUCAGAGGGGCAUGACAAAAUUGAGUGGAAAUCCUAUAUUGUUUCUUACAUGGAUAACUUCAAAAAGCCAAAAAAAGGACCUAAAAGUAAAAAGGCUUCAGAAGGUGAGAUCAAACAGCACUGACAAACAAAGUUAAGAGGACUUGGCAUAUUUUUCUUGGCUAUCCCAUUAGACGAUAGUCUUUGUGUACGUAUAUGCAUUUAGUUUAAGAAGAUGAUUCUGAAUAUUGAUAUGGAAAAGAAAUUAUUUUCUGGAAGUGUGGGACUAUUUAUAAUCUCAAUUUGCUAAACGAGCUCGAGGGAGAUUCAGAGAUGAGUAUUUUUUACGAAGUAAAAACUUCAUUCUUUUUUUUCCUUUUUGGAGAAAAUAUUCAUAUGGUAGAAGAGAAGUUUCAAAAAUGUGAAAAUUGUGACAAGGAGAGAUAUUCCUAAUAUGAGAAAGCUAGAAGAAAAUGAAACUAAGGCUGCUUGUCAUGCAUUCACUUGUUGGAAAUUUGAAUAUGUGGGCAUGUUCCCCUCAAACUGGAAUAGGGAAUUAGUUUUCACCUGUGUCCCGUGAAUAGGCUUUACCUUAACAUUGAAGAAAUAACUAGUUAUCAACAUAUAUACAAAUCUUGGAUAACAAGUACUCUAAGCUGAUCAUUGUGCAAGAUUCAUGGGCUUAGCAUUUUUUAACUUUUAGUGGUCGUCAUGUCACUCCACCAAACAAUAGACUUUUUUCUGCUGGCAGAUAAGUGGGGUUCAAUAACAUCUUGCAUGAUGAAUGCUUGUCAACUUAGAUAAGGAUGAAGAAGCGAAUAUAGUGUUUCUCCCAAAUCCUACUCAAACGAGGAACCAAAACAAAGCAUGUGAUGGAGGUCCACAAGUCAAAUUUUCUAUGUUCCCGUAUUAGUAAUGUGACCAGAUGGCUCUUGAAAGUUUCAUCGAAGUACAUGAUAAUGUGAUGUUGAUGACUAGGCUAUUGUUUGAGGGCCCGAGGCAAAUGAAUAUUGUUUUAUCUUUAACUAGGAAUUGUUCGUGCUUUGGCUCUUCAUAAUUUU
rnacentral:misc_RNA from 1 species